CUGCCCAGGACGCCGGGUGCCCCUCGGGGCCUCAGUGUCGGUGUCCCUGGGGGGCUCGUGUCCCUGCCCCUGCUCACAAGCUGAGCUCUCUCCCUCUGGCCAGGCCAGAUUCUACUGAACUCUCCUGGGCCAGCCAAAGGCCUGGGCAAGGACUAGAAACUUCUGGGAGUAAAGCCGGUGCCUCUGAGCCCUGGGCCAACACCCACAUCCUUGAAUACCAGCUUCCAACAUAGAAGUAAGGGGUGGAGGCAAGCAUGUGUGGCUGGGGUGCCGCUCAUCACAGGCACUUAGGGAGCAGCCGCUCCACACCAGGCUCGGGACUGGCUGCCCAGGCGCCCUGCUGGAGCGCGCAGGAGAGCAGGACAGGACCUGCGUCUACUGGUACCCACACUCCUUCUGCAGCAUCUGGCACAUUCUCUGGUGCUCAUAGGGUUUGUGGAGUAAUAUAACGACUGAGCAGCAUCUUUUCCCUGUCAAGAACAAAAUGAAAUGGAAUAUUAUUCAGCCCUAAAAAGGAAGGAAAUUCUGACACACACUACAACAUGGGUGAACCUUGAGGACAUGCGGCUAGGUGAAAUAAACCAGUCACAAAGGGACAAAUCCUGUAUGAUUUCGCUCAUGUGAGGUCCCUAGAGGAGUCAAAUUCUGGGAGACAGAAAGCAGAAGGUGGG
rnacentral:lncRNA from 1 species